ACGAACGCUGGCGGCGUGCCUAAUACAUGCAAGUAGAACGCUGAAGGAGGAGCUUGCUUCUCUGGAUGAGUUGCGAACGGGUGAGUAACGCGUAGGUAACCUGCCUGGUAGCGGGGGAUAACUAUUGGAAACGAUAGCUAAUACCGCAUAAGAGUAGAUGUUGCAUGACAUUUACUUAAAAGGUGCAAUUGCAUCACUACCAGAUGGACCUGCGUUGUAUUAGCUAGUUGGUGAGGUAACGGCUCACCAAGGCAACGAUACAUAGCCGACCUGAGAGGGUGAUCGGCCACACUGGGACUGAGACACGGCCCAGACUCCUACGGGAGGCAGCAGUAGGGAAUCUUCGGCAAUGGACGGAAGUCUGACCGAGCAACGCCGCGUGAGUGAAGAAGGUUUUCGGAUCGUAAAGCUCUGUUGUAAGAGAAGAACGAGUGUGAGAGUGGAAAGUUCACACUGUGACGGUAUCUCACCAGAAAGGGACGGCUAACUACGUG
rnacentral:rRNA from 1 species